GCCCGGGUGGCGAAACUGGCAGACGCAGCAGACUUAAGAUCUGCCGCCCUUACAGGCGUGCCGGUUCGAUUCCGGCCCCGGGCACCA
rnacentral:tRNA from 1 species